rnacentral:lncRNA from 1 species
CGAAUAAUCAAAAACGAAACCUGUCUCCUGAGCUCUUAUCUACGACUUCGUGCGUCAAAAGUCAACUUCAAUGCUGAACAAACGACACCAAUAACAUUUUUAAGAAGGUAAUAAUGGUAAUGUGGACCAAGUUGAGGAAGUGGAGGAGGUCUGUCUGCCACGUUUAGUGGUGAGAGAUAGAAGGAUCCAGUUGUCAUGCAGUCAGAGGAGGAGUUCUUGAAACGUUAUCAACUGCCAAAGCAGUGCACCAGAAACCUGCUUCAGAAAAUCAGCAGAAAAUUACCCACAGCAAGAGAUGGCAGAGGUUGCAGCUUGUGUUAUGUUGCA